AAAUUUAGCUGGCGAAUUAAUCCGCCUAGGCGAAACUGGACCAUGUCGGGAUCAUCGUAUCUUGUCAUUACGGUCUGGAGAUGGAACAUUGAGUAGAGUUCCAUUGUGAGCUCGUGGUAUGUCGGCUCGAUAAUCCUGAAGAACAGCUCUCACGGGUCGGUGGUUAAGAGAGCCCGAAUCGUAUUAGCCAUCUGGACUUGUUCUAUAGCAGCCCAGUCGAUGCAGCGGCCCGCUAAAGGUUGGACCCGAAGUAUUUGGAAGAGCUCUUCUUGGGGCCCUCAUGGAAACUGUAGGAAAGGGUGACGAAUUUUUGCGGUUGGACCAGCGGAGGAU
rnacentral:lncRNA from 1 species